AUAGUACUCCCUCCGUUCCGAAUUACUUGUCUCGAAAAUGAAUGUAUCUAAAACUAAAAUACGUCUAGAUACAUCCAUUCUCACGAUAAGUAAUUCCGAACGGAGGGGGUACAAA
rfam:Triticum aestivum genome assembly, contig: Triticum_aestivum_CS42_TGACv1_scaffold_049495_1BS